ACUCAAAGGAAUAGACGGGGGCCCGCACAAGCAGCGGAGCAUGUGGUUUAAUUGGACGCAACGCCAAGAACCUUACCUGGGCUUGACAUGUUCCUGACCGGCCUGGAAACAGGUCUUCCCUUCGGGGCAGGAUCACAGGUGGUGCAUGGCUGUCGUCAGCUCGUGUCGUGAGAUGUUGGGUUAAGUCCCGCAACGAGCGCAACCCUCGUCGUAUGUUGCCAGCAUUUAGUUGGGGACUCAUACGAGACUGCCGGUGACAAACCGGAGGAAGGCGGGGAUGACGUCAAGUCAUCAUGCCCCUUAUGUCCAGGGCUACACACGUGCUACAUUGGCGCGUACAGAGGGCUGCGAUACCGCGAGGUGGAGCGAAUCCCUCAAAGCGCGUCUCGGUUCGGAUAGUAGGCUGAAACUCGCCUACUUGAAGGUGGAGUUGCUAGUAAUCGCGGAUCAGCAUUGCCGCGGUGAAUACGUUCCCGGGCCUUGUACACACCGCCCGU
rnacentral:rRNA from 1 species